rnacentral:rRNA from 1 species
AUGUGUUACCGGAGUUCCUUCCUUUUAAAGGGAAGUACGUCUCCGUUAGAGCGGUGUAGAGGCACAAUGCUCCCCAAGAAGCCACUAGGGCCACCGUAUUCUCCUCACACGAUGCGAGAUGCCGUGAUUCCACUAUUGGUGCCCUUGAAGGCGGCGACCGAACCUUUACAAGCAAGGUUGGGGCAAUCUCCACAACAAUUGGAGGCUCCCAACAACAACACCACCAUGAAGCUUCACCACAAUGGAGUAUGGCUUCGAGGUGACCUCAACCGUCUAGGGUGCUCAACACCCAAGAGUAACAAGAUCCGCAAGGGAUAA